UACAGAGGGUGCUAGCGUUUGUUCGGAAUCAUUGGGCGUAAAGGGGCGUGUAGGCGGUUUGUUAAGUCAUGUGUGAAAUCCCUCGGCUCAACCGGGGAACGCGCAUGAAACUGGCAAGCUAGAGUACCAAGAGGGGGUGGAAUUCCCGGUGUAGCGGUGAAAUGCGGUAGAUAUCGGGAGGAACACCUGUGGCGAAGGCGGCCCCCUGGU
rnacentral:rRNA from 1 species